rnacentral:rRNA from 1 species
GAAAAGCACCCCGGGAGGGGAGUGAAAAAGAACCUGAAACCUUGUGUUUACAAGCACUCAAAGCUCGUCAAGGAGCGAUGAGGUACUUUUUGUAGAACGGUCCGGCGAGUUAAGGUAUGCAGCCAUGGUUAAGUACUCAGAGGUACGGAGCCCAAGGGAAACCGAGUGUUAACAGCGCGAAUGUUGCAUGCUUUAGACCCGAAACCGGGUGACCUAUCCAUGAGCAGGUUGAAGUGAAGGUGAAACUUCAUGGAGGACCGAACCGACCCUCGUUGAAAAGAUGGCGGAUGACUUGUGGAUAGCGGAGAAAUUCCAAUCGAACUCGGAUAUAGCUGGUUCUCCCCGAAAUAGCUUUAGGGCUAGCCUCAUAUACGCGAAUGCGUAAUGUAUUACCGGAGGUAAAGCACUGACCGGCCUAGGGGUCGAAAGAUUACCGAAGCCUAUCAAACUAAGAAUGCCGGAUAAUAUAGAAUGGGAGUCAGACAGUGUGAGAUAAGUCUCAUUGUCAAAAGGGAAACAGCCCAGACCUACAGCUAAGGUCCCUAAUGUAUGUUAAGUGGAAAAGGAUGUGGAAUUGCGAAAACAACCAGGAUGUUGGCUCAGAAGCAGCCACUCAUUAAAAGAGUGCGUAAUAGCUCACUGGUCGAGUGAUUCUGCGCCGAAGAUGUAACGGGGCUAAACAUACAACCGAAGCUUGGGAUAUAUCUUAAAGAUAUGUGGUAGGGGAGCGUUCUGUUAUAGGGAGAAGCGAUAGCGAAAGCGGUCGUGGACGAAACAGAAGUGAGAAUGCCGGAAUGAGUAGCGAGAAUUAUGUGAGAAUCAUAAUGGCCGAAAAUCUUAGGUUUCCGGGGGAAGGCUCGUCCGCCCCGGGUAAGCCGGAGCUAAGGUGAGACCGAAAGGUGUAACCGAUGCACAUACGGUAGAAAUUCCGUAGCCAUCGAAAUUGUUAAGUAAGAGGACGCUUGGAGAUAGGAUAACCCCGCAGUUGGUGAUGGGGCGAAAGGGAUCGAAAUAUAGUAGAGAAGUAUCCGAUGCUCCGAGACGAGAAAAGUCUUAUGAAUUGAUUAGAUGACCGUACCGCAAACCGACACAGGUAGAUGAGGAGAGAAUCCUAAGGCCAGCGAGAGAAAGGUUGUUAAGGAACUCGGCAAAAUUACCCCGUAACUUAGGGAUAAGGGGAGCUCUCGAAAGAGAGCCGCAGCGAAUAAGCCCAGGCGACUGUUUAGCAAAAACACAGGUCUCUGCUAAAUCGAAAGAUGAUGUAUAGGGGCUGACGCCUGCCCAGUGCUGGAAGGUUAAGGAGAGAUGUCAGAGCAAUCGAAGCAUUGACCCGAAGCCCCAGUGAACGGCGGCCGUAACUAUAACGGUCCUAAGGUAGCGAAAUUCCUUGUCAGGUAAGUUCUGACCCGCACGAAUGGCGUAACGAUCUGGGCACUGUCUCAACAGCCUGCUCGGUGAAAUUGUAGAACUGGUGAAGAUGCCAGUUACCCGCGAUUAGACGGAAAGACCCCAUGGAGCUUUACUGCAGCUUGAUAUUGGGUUCUGAUGAUAGAUGUACAGGAUAGGUGGGAGACUUAGAAACAGAGGCGUCAGCUUCUGCGGAGUCGCCGUUGGGAUACCACUCUUUUAUUAUUGGAAUUCUAACCUGUUCCCGUGAAUCCGGGAAAGGGACACUGUCAGGCAGGCAGUUUGACUGGGGCGGUCGCCUCCAAAAGAGUAACGGAGGCGUUCAAAGGUUGGCUCAGCAUGGACGGAAACCAUGCAUAGAGUGUAAACGCAGAAGCCAGCCUAACUGCGAGAGAGACAUUUCGAGCAGUAACGAAAGUUGGAGUUAGUGAUCCGGUGGUA